UACAUACUCCCUCAGUCCCAUAUUAAGUGUCUAAAAUUUGCCCAAAUAGGAAUGUAUCUAUAACUACAAAACAUCUAGAUACAUGUAAUAUUUCGACACUUAAUAUGGGACGGAGGGAUUAUUUA
rfam:Brachypodium distachyon strain Bd21 chromosome 2, whole genome shotgun sequence.